GUGCGAAUGCUGGGUGCGGAUGCUGUUAUGAGCAGACUAGCUCACAAUGAGAAUGAGUCUUGUGAGAGAAGCAGAAAGCAGUCAGAUGGAGAGAUGGUGAGAAUUCAGGGGGGAGACAUCAUUCAGAGCCCAACAUCCAAACAAACCUUUUCAAGAACAGCGGUAAGUCAUUCUCUGUCAUUGUGUGAACAUCAGUUUCCAUCAAAAUGUGAACAUCGGGAAAGUGCUUGCCAUUCUCAAAAUAACUAAGAAGAUAAUUUCAAAGAGAUAGAUGAAAGUUGCACUGUGCAUUGAAAGUUUGCCCUGCAACAAUGAGGAUUAGAAACUUUGCUCUUUUAUCAAUGCUUUGGAUUUCAAUUGACAUCAGUCCCAGCCAGCAGAGCCAUAUGCAGGUGGGGCUUAUGGAACCAUAGCCAUGCUGUCUAGGGCUGAUGGGAGCUGGGAGUCUGAGACAUCUGGAGGGUACUAGAUUGGCCAGGCCUGUUCAUGUUUAAAACAGGAGAUAAGGAUUUACUUAUUAUUUAAUUCUUCACAACAAAAAGGGUGUAGGAGUGAGGGGAGAUGCACCCUCUCUGUGCCCCAUGCUUUCUACAGCAGUCAGUUGUUUGAAACACUUUCCUUUUGACUCAGCAUUUUUCUCUCCACUGUUCUUUUUGCAGGGCUGGCUCAAGACAUUUUGCUGCCUGAGGCAGAACUGCAAAUGGUGCCUCUGACACACACACACACACACACAGAGAGAGAGAGAGAGAGAGAGAGAGAGCUCAGAAGUCAAGGGCAGAGUACCCAAGAUAGUAAACCUGAGGCAAAGGAUCCAAACAGCAUUUUUCAUCAUCAUAAUCUGUUUAUUUCUAUACCACCUUUUGGCCAAGACCCCCAAAGCUGUGAACUAAUUAAUACAACAGAAAAUAUAAUAGCACUGGUUGGCAUCCAUCAGUCUCAGGGGACAAUGGAGGAGUGUGCCUUUGGAGGUGAGGUUAAACUGUUGGAAGUUACGGUGGCUGCUGUGGCUGUAGAGACCAAUACUAGGAGCCACAGGUGAGAGCUGGGUACACGGUGGAGACCAAAGGUGGAC